ACCUGGCUGGCGCAAUGGGAAGAGCAUGUGAUUUCUGAUCACAGGGUUGUGAGUUCUAGCCCCACGUUGGGGG
rnacentral:tRNA from 1 species